UACGUAGGAGACGAGCGUUGUCCGGAAUUACUGGGCGUAAAGCGCGUGUAGGCGGAUGAGCAAGUCUGCUGUGAAAGCUCCUGGCUUAACCGGGAGUGGUCGGUGGAAACUGCUCGUCUGGAGGACGGUAGAGGUAGGUAGAAUUCCCGGUGUAGUGGUGAAAUGCGUAGAGAUCGGGAGGAAUACCUGUGGCGAAGGCGGCCUACUGGGCCGGACCUGACGCUGAGACGCGAAGGCGUGGGGAGCGAACGGGAUUGAGAA
rnacentral:rRNA from 1 species